GCCGGGCGUGAUGGCUCACACCUGUAAUCCCAGCACCUUGGGAGGCCGAGGCAGGUGAGUCAUCUGAGGUCAGGAGUUCGAGACCAGCCUGGCCAACAGGAUGAAACCUUGUCUCUA
rnacentral:SRP_RNA from 1 species